rnacentral:rRNA from 1 species
ACCGCGUGAGGGAAGAAGGCUCUUGGGUCGUAAACCUCUUUUGUCAGGGAAGAACACAAUGACGGUACCUGACGAAUCAGCCUCGGCUAACUCCGUGCCAGCAGCCGCGGUAAUACGGAGGAGGCAAGCGUUAUCCGGAAUUAUUGGGCGUAAAGCGUCCGUAGGUGGCUAGUCAAGUCUGCGGUCAAAGACUGGGGCUUAACCCUGGAAAGGCCGUGGAAACUGACGAGCUAGAGUGCAGUAGGGGUAGAGGGAAUUCCCGGUGUAGCGGUGAAAUGCGUAGAGCUCGGGAAGAACAUCGGUGGCGAAAGCGCUCUACUGGACUGCAACUGACACUCAGGGACGAAAGCUAGGGGAGCGAAUGGGAUUAGAUACCCCAGUAGUCA